rnacentral:rRNA from 1 species
ACGGAGGGUGCAAGCGUUAUCCGGAAUUACUGGGUUUAAAGGGUGCGUAGGCGGGUCUAUAAGUCAGAGGUGAAAGCUUUCAGCUUAACUGAAAAAUUGCCUUUGAUACUGUAGAUCUUGAAUUAUGUUGAGGUUAGCGGAAUGUGACAUGUAGCGGUGAAAUGCAUAGAUAUGUCAUAGAACACCAAUUGCGAAGGCAGCUAGCUAGGCAUAUAUUGACGCUGAGGCACGAAAGCAUGGGGAGCGAACAGG